GCUGGAUGUGGUGGUGCACGUCUGUGGUCCCAGCUACCCAGGAGGCUGAGACAGGAGGAUCGCUUGAGCCCAGGAGGUCAGUGCUGCAGUGAGCUGUGAUUGUGCCACUGCACUCCAGCCUGAGCAACAGAAUGAGACCCUGUCUCAA
ensembl:misc_RNA Metazoa_SRP Metazoan signal recognition particle RNA